ensembl:lncRNA
GCCUUUAGAUAUCUUCAGGCCAUGACUCUUAUCAAAUAUUUGAAGUUUGGUGCAGAUUGGACAUUGCACGUUUAAGUUAGUGUAAAAUAAGCCAUUUUCUGUUGUCAGAAGGUGGUGCUAUGAUUAUAGUGGAAUAAUGACCUUCAGAUGUGUUCAGGCCAAGACUCUUUUCGAACAUGUGAAGUUUGGGGAAGAUCAGACAUCUUAUGCCUGAGUUACAACAACUUCUAUUCCCAUAGCGAGACAUAAAACUUUGUCACGGCGCCAUGGCCACACCCUUUAAUGGAAACCCAAGAUGUUCACAAUUUAACAUUGCAAAGGCCUUUAGAUUAGACUGACCAAAAAAAAUUAUAAAAUGUCAUAAAAUUUCUAGGAGUAGUUUGUUACGGCGUAAAACAUGUCACUUCCUGUUGCCAGCAGGUGGCGCUAUAGCGAUAUCUGAAUAUUGGCAUGUAGAUAUAUUCAGGUCAGGAGUCUUCUCAAACAUGUGAAGUUUGAGGCAGAUUGGACAUUGUAUGUCUGAGUUAUAGCAACUUCCUUUCUCAUGGCGAAACAUCGAAAUUUGUAGGGCCGACACGGACACGCCCUUCAACGAAACCUCAAGAUCUUCGCAAUUUAACAUCACAAAGGCCUUUAGAUUACACUGACCAAGUUUGGUGUUGAUCUGAAUAAAUCUCUAGGAGGAGUUCUUUAAAGUACAAC